ACGCAAAUGGUGUAACGGUAACAUAGCCGCCUUCCAAGGUGUUAAAAGCUUCUAGCAGCUGCCCAGGGUUCGACUCCCUGUUUGCGUACAA